rnacentral:rRNA from 1 species
GACGAACGCUGGCGGCGUGCUUAACACAUGCAAGUCGAACGAUGAAGCCGGAGCUUGCUCUGGUGAAUUAGUGGCGAACGGGUGAGUAACACGUGAGUAACCUGCCCUUGACUCUGGGAUAACUGCGGGAAACUGUAGCUAAUACCGGAUACGACCCUCGGAGGCAUCUCCUGGGGGUGGAAAGAAUUUCGGUCAAGGAUGGACUCGCGGCCGAUCAGCUAGUUGGUGAGGUAAAGGCUCACCAAGGCGACGAGGGGUAGCCGGCCUGAGGGGGUGACCGGCCACACUGGGACUGAGACGCGGCCCAGACUCCUACGGGAGGCAGCAGUGGGGAAUAUUGCACAAUGGGCGCGAGCCUGAUGCAGCAACGCCGCGUGAGGGAUGACGGCCUUCGGGUUGUAAACCUCUUUUAGCAGGGAAGAAGCGAAAGUGACGGUACCUGCAGAAAAAGCACCGGCUAACUACGUGCCAGCCGCCGCCGUAA